rnacentral:rRNA from 1 species
UACGAAGGGGGCUAGCGUUGCUCGGAAUUACUGGGCGUAAAGCGCACGUAGGCGGAUUUUUAAGUCAGGGGUGAAAUCCCGAGGCUCAACCUCGGAACUGCCUUUGAUACUGGAGAUCUUGAGUUCGGAAGAGGUUGGUGGAACAGCUAGUGUAGAGGUGAAAUUCGUAGAUAUUAGCUAGAACACCAGUGGCGAAGGCGGCCAACUGGUCCGAUACUGACGCUGAGGUGCGAAAGCGUGGGGAGCAAACAGG